AGCGGGGCCCAUCCCGUAAGGCUAAAUACUCCCGAGAGACCGAUAGCGAACCAGUACCGUGAGGGAAAGGUGAAAAGAACCCCGAGCAGGGGAGUGAAAUAGACCCUGAACCCGUCUGCCUACAAGCGGUCGGAGCAUAGCAAUAUGUGACGGCGUGCCUUUUGCAUAAUGAACCUACGAGUUACCUUCCCCGGCAAGGUUAAGUACCUAAGGUACGGAGCCGAAGCGAAAGCGAGUCUGAAGAGGGCGGCCAGUCGGGGGGGGUAGACGCGAAACCGAGUGAUCUACCCUUGGCCAGGUUGAAGGUUGGGUAACACCAACUGGAGGACCGGAUGGGUAAGCGUUGAAAAGCUUUCCAAUGAGCUGAGGGUAGGGGUGAAAGGCUAAUCAAACUCGGAGAUAGCUCGUACUCCCCGAAAUGCAUUUAGGUGCAGCCUCUUUAUAGUAUAUCGUGAGGUAGAGCGACUGAUUGGAUGCGAGGGCUUCACCGCCUAUCAAGUCCAGAUAAACUCCGAAUGCGCGAUAUAUAUUUACAGGGAGUGAGGGCGCGGGUGCUAAGGUCCGUGUCCGAGAGGAGAAGAAUCCAGACCACCGGCUAAGGCCCCCAAAUGAUCGUUGAGUUGAACUAACGAGGUCGGAUCGCAGAGACAGCUAGGAUGUUGGCUUGGAAGCAGCCAUUCAUUUAAAGAGUGCGUAACAGCUCACUAGUCGAGCGAUCUGGCGUGGAUAAUAAUCGGGCAUAAACGAUCUGCCGAAGCCGUGGAUGUCGCAAGACAUGGUAGGGGAGCAUUCCAUGCGGCGUCGAAGAUGAGGGAUGACCCUUGUUGGAGCGCAUGGAAAAGCAAAUGUAGGUAUGAGUAACGAUAAGGGGGGCGAGAAACCCCCCCGCCGAAAGACCAAGGUUUCCUGAUCAACGCUAAUCGGAUCAGGGUGAGUCGGGACCUAAGGCAAAGCCGAACGGCGCCGCCGAUGGAAGAAUGGGUUAAUAUUCCCAUACUGCCUCAUGGAGUGACGUGGAGACGGAGAAGUGACAGUCCUGCCGGCUGACGGAAUAGCCGGUUGAAGGGUGUAGAUAUUGAUUCCCGUAGGCAAAUCCGCGGGGAGAGUCGAACCUGACAGUAUACCGAGUACUUGUACGAGGUAAUAUGGACGUAACCAUGCUCCCAAGAAAAUCCGCUAAACUUAUCCAUGCGGCACCCGUACCGUAAACGGACACACGUGGUCGGGUUGAGAAUACUGAGGCGCUCGAGUGACUCACGGUUAAGGAACUAGGCAAAUUGACCCUGUAACUUCGGGAUAAAGGGUCCUCGUCGUAAGGCGAGGCGCAGAGAAUAGGUCCAGGCAACUGUUUAACAAAAACACAUGGCUAUGCUAAAUGGAAACAUGACGUAUAUAGCCUGACACCUGCCCGGUGCUGGAAGGUUAAGAGGAGAUGUCAUCGCAAGAGAAGCGUUGAAUUGAAGCCCCAGUAAACGGCGGCCGUAACUAUAACGGUCCUAAGGUAGCGAAAUUCCUUGUC
rnacentral:rRNA from 1 species